rnacentral:lncRNA from 1 species
AGAGAAACCAAACUUCUCCGCCCAUAAUAAUGUUCACCUAAAAUACAAUGCUUUAUCUUCAAAAAUAAAUACCCAUAACUCAAAACAAUUUCGUUUGUCCACACUCCACACACAAACAAACAUUUCGAAGCAGUCCAUUUUCUUUUUCAUUUUUCACACACACUUUUCGUACAUAUAGCUAAAAUAAACAUCUUACAUAUACCAUAACUCAUAAUUCAUCCUUAAAUCACAAGUUUUCAUUUCAUCAAACAAUUUUCAGCAGCUUUUCUCAUGGAGAUUUUCUGGUUUUUCAAAAUUUUCUUGACUUUCACCUUCUUUUUCUUGAUGGGAGAUCCAUUUUUCUCUCAUUCAUCUUCUUUGCCCGAGGGAAUCGCGAAGUCUGCAGCUGUACACCGCAAUUACACCGCCAUAUCAGAGUUUCGAGUACUCAACAGAAAACCUUUGAAGGAUUGCCCCGACCUGAACCCGUAUUUGCAAAUAAACACAAGCUCCAUUGCCAAGCUUUCUGAUGAUGGAUAUAUAACAGUAAAUGUUACAGGAGUUUUACUUCCUUCGGCUACUGAUUGGGUCGCAAUGAUUUCCCCAUCUCAUGCCGUGUAAGAUGAUUAUUUUCGUAUCUAAAUAAUCUGAUUCUACGCUUGAAAAAACGGUAAAUUUAAUCUGAUCUUGCAGUGUAACAGCCUGUUUAGAAAACUCAAUUCUUUAUAAGGAGACAGGAGAUUUUAGUAGUCUUCCUCUUCUCUGCCAUUAUCCUGUUAAGGUAAGUGCAUUCUACUUUUGCAAAACGUUUGAAGGAUUAUAAUAAUCACAGUUUAAUUAGCCUUGAGAUUAUUUUAUAUUUUACUGCGCGCAGCCAUUCUUUUAAUUUAUUUCUUGACAUGCCUGGUUCAUAAUGAUCAGAAAUCUGUUUAAGUAUCAAAUAAUUCAGAAACUGAGAGUUUCUUGAAAAAUUUGUCCUUGAUCCGAUAUUUACUCGACAUAGUAACAACAACAAUAACAAACUAAUGUCGAUCGACUUGGGUUAUUGCUAAAAUUUGCAGGCUCAAUAUUUAAGAAGUGAUCCAGAUUACUUAAGUUGCAAGAAGAAGGAAUGCAAGAAAAAAGUGAAUGGAAAAUGCGUGUUGAGAACAUGUAGUGCGUCUUUGUCAUUUCAUGUCAUUAAUAUUCGAACUGAUAUCGAAUUUGUGCUGUUUGCUGGUGGAUUUGUUGCGCCUUGCAUUUUGAGAAGAUCACAGCCACUCAGAUUUGCCAAUCCAAACAAGCCUUUAUAUGGACAUAUAUCGAGUACCGAUUCAACAGCAAAAUCGGUAUGGAAUGCCAUCUCUGAUCUCCAAUAUCCAUGCAUGUGGUUGAGAAUUAAUUAUUUUAUUUUUAUUUACAACAUUUUAGAGGAAAUAGUUCGACGAUUUUUUAUUUAUUUAUUUUUGAUAAUAUGUUAUUAAAAAGCGGAAGUUAUGAAUUUCAUAAAAUGUGUGUGACUGAAAAUUAUUUGAACGAAAAAAGUUUAAGAAAAAGUUGUAUCAAACAUGCCUUUAUUUAACCCCUAUUUGGUAUAGCUAAAAAUUAAUUUUUUGUAAAUUUUAAUAAAAGUUGAUGAAAUGUAUUGAAAAGUUUGAAUCCCUUAAAUUAUUUAAUUAAAAUAAAAUUUUAAUUUUCACCAUAAUUUUUCAAUUCCUUACUCCUGUAAGAAAUGGCACAAGGCUUUGUUGACUUUGCUAUCAUUAAUUGCCUUGUCCGCCCGGCAAGAUUAUCGUUCACAAGCAUCUGCAAUUUCCUCUUUUUAAUAAAUUAAACAGCUGUGAUGGGAUGGCAACAUAUUUACCUUCUUUAUGGGAUUAAAAUCAAAAUUUAUUGAUAAAAAUUAAUAAAAUGUAUGAUUGAAAAGUUGUGAAUCCUAUAAAAUAUAUUAUUAAAUCUAAUUAUUAAUUAUAAUUAUAAUUAUAAUUUUAAAUCCUAAUGAAUGGGGACUUAAAGAUCUACCACCAACUUAACUGAGCAAUUACUGUUGUGCAGAACAAAUAUUGAAUAUUCUCACCUUUUACUGAAUUAAGUAAUUAAUUCAGUGUACUCGUGGGAUUAAAAAGUCAGCAGCAGUUGACUGCAAAAUUUUGAGGUGUGAAAGAAGAAAAAACGUAGCAGUGCUUUCAAACGUAGGGCCACAUAAUAUUAGUGCAUGGGAAGUGAUAAAUAAUUAUAUAUUUAAUUAGGUAUAUUUUUUAUGCUGAUGAGAUUAGACAUUAUAAAGAAUAGAUUUUGUAAUGUUUUUUCCCAAAGUUUGAUGCAUUAUAAUUUUGACGUGUCAAAAUUUUAGUGAGACGCAUUUUUGCCUUUAAAAAAAACAACGAAAGAGACAACAAGAUAGAGCAACAAAUGUAGACUCGUCGUGAACGCAUUAACACCUGUAUUUGAUAUGAAUAUAUUUGGUAAGAUUUGAUAUGAAUAUAUGGAGAAUAUAAUGGAUUUUUCAAAAUUGUGAUAAUUGCAGAUGAGAGUAACAUGGGUGAGUGGAAACCAACAGCCUCAACAUGUUCAAUUUGGAAAUGGGAAAUCAGUUACCUCACUUGUUUCUACUUUUUCACAAAGUGAUAUGUGCAACAGUAAGUUUCUUAUUCUCCUCGUGCUUUUGCUUAAAGUAGCUUAAAACCGUAUAUCUUUGAGACUUUUAUAAACAACCAAAUGACUUGAUUGAACAUCGUUUUGUCUACCCAUUUGAGAAGACUAAUGUUAUUCGGCACAACUAAUGUUAUAGUUUUUUCCAUGAAUUCUCGAAGGGAUUGGCAUCUUCAAUCUAGAUUAAUGUUUUAUUCUAAAAUAUUGUUUCCUUUUUAUCGAAAAUAAGCUUCCUACUUACAAAGUCCUGCCAAGGAUUUUGGGUGGCAUGACCCUGGCUACAUUCAUUCAGCUGUAAUGACAGGACUCAACCCUUCAACCAAGUACCUCUACAGAUAUGGAAGGUAAAUUUUUGUUUCCAAGUGAAAAAUAAGAAGAGGGAAAAAGAAAGCCGAAAACAUUCUGCAGUAGGAAAAUAUUUUUAAUUUCGACUGGUAAAAAAUCGAAAAACUUAUUGCAUAUACUCAGACUUACAUGUAUUAUACAUAAUUUGAACAUAUAAUACAGUGAUUCAAGUGGAUGGAGUAAUUGGACAACAUUCAAAACACCGCCUGCUGGUGGAUCAGAUGAGCUUAAAUUUCUUGCAUUUGGUGACAUGGGCAAGGCUUCUCGUGAUGCUUCUACUGAACACUAUAUACAGGUAAUAUAUAAGUGUGGAUAUGUCUGUUACAGAAAAUAUGAAUACAAUGCAAUUAUGGCUAAAAAGGGCCUUAUUUUUGGGGAUAAAUAUAGCCAGGAUCACUAUCAGUCAUCGAAGCUAUGGCCGACGAACUAUCCUCCAGUGGAGUCGACGCAAUAUAUCAUAUUGGAGACAUAAGCUAUGCCACAGGUUUUCUAGUAGAAUGGGACUUUUUCCUUCACCAAAUUAAUCCAGUGGCCUCUAAAGUUUCUUACAUGACUGCAAUUGGGAAUCAUGAGAGGUAUGCUGUUCGGUUCAAAAUUGUGUAACUGUCACAUAUUUAAUGAGAAAAUGGUUCGACGCUGUUUAAGCUUUUAGACAAACUGAUAAAAAUUCGAGGUAUUAUCUUUCAGGGAUUUUGGAGACUCCGGAUCGGUUUAUUUUACUCCGGACUCUGGUGGUGAGUGUGGGGUACCUUAUGAGACAUAUUUUCCAAUGCCAGCAGUUGCAAAGGAUAAGCCAUGGUAUUCUAUAGAACAAGGGAGUGUUCACUUUACAGUAAUUUCAACAGAGCAUAAUUGGACACAAAACUCAGAACAGGUACAUAAAUAACCUUCUUUUACACUGUUUUGUGCCUCGUUUAGCAUAGUAGGUAAUGUAAUACUAGAAAGUAGAGUAAUGUCUAAUAAGUUUAUGUUGUCUAAUACCAGGUGUAUGUUUGAUAUUGAUUUUUCUCCUCAAAACAUUCAUUUUUUGACCAUUAUUUCACUAUUUCAGCCGUCAUUUUUGACUUCUUCUCUCACAAAUUAGACACAUUUUUCUCUCUAACAGUCAAAAAAUCAAUUUUCAAAAUCACUAUCGAACAAGCCCCAGCAACAAAACUUAGCCUUACAUCUUUUCCGUCUCAUGGAACAAAAUAAUAAUUGUUGCACUUAACUUCAUUGUGUCCUUGCACAGUAUGAAUGGAUGAAGAAGGACAUGGCUUCAGUUGAUCGAUCAAGAACUCCAUGGUUAAUAUUCACGGGGUAAUUUUAUAUUUUCAAGGCCACGGCCAAUAUCUUUUUAUUGCAUUUCGAUUAGCCAACUUUUAACUAAAACUCUGCUUGUCUUCUUUCAUGAGUAGGCUAGAUGUUUAAUCAACAAUAAACUAAAUGUUUUGCGUUUUUCCUAAACAAAUUUGGAUCAGUAACAAAUUAUCAUGAAUGAAAAUUCUUGUCAGUGACCACCGACAGUAGGUCGAUAUGUGAUUUAGAUGGAAUUAUCGACAAUGAUGUUGUUGGUGAUUGUUAAUAUAUUGUCAUUAGUGAUUGUCAAUGGACCGCUUAAUUCUUGAGUCGACUCUGAUUUAAAAGAUGCACGAAUAUGUUUUUUUUACUGCUCCGUUCAUUUCAUUGCCACAUUACUUAAAUCCAAUGCCAGUAACAGAAACAUGUACAAAUAAUCAAUUCAUUAAUUUUACAUGUCAAUAAAAUUAAUGAAUAUUGCGAAUUGACUACAGGCACAGGCCCAUGUAUUCCUCCAACGACGGAAACAUUAUUUUGCCAAGCGUCGACGACAAAUUCGUCCAAGCCGUGGAGCCAUUGCUACUAGCCAAUAAGGUAAAAGUUUCCAUCGAGAACACAAAUUUUAGUAAGUACUGGCUUCGUGAUUAAUUGUACUCACUAACAUAUAAAUGGAUCUACAGGUUGAUCUUGUUCUAUUUGGACACGUUCACAACUACGAAAGAACAUGUGCCGUUUAUAAGCAACAAUGCAAGGCAAUGCCAAAGAAAGAAAGAAAUGGAAUUGAUACAUAUGAUAAUACAAAGUAUAGUGCACCAGUUCAUGCUGUUAUUGGAAUGGCUGGCUUUAGCUUGGAUAAGUUCUCCAACAAGGUAAGUAGUUACAACCUCAAGCCCUCAUAGAGACUCGUCCCCCCACUCUCAUCGUCGUCUCAAGUAUCAAACUUGGAUCCCCUGUCAAUUUUUCUUGACCUUUGGGUUUCAAAUUCAAUUUUGUAGCUUGAGAUUUCUCUAUACGAUUUAUUAAAGAUGAUCUUAAAAGAAAUCCAUGUCUUGGGACACAAAUUCUACCGGACGUUAACUCAAAAAGAAAAAAAUGUCAAGAAAGAUAUACAAAUACUCGAGCCUACAAUGAGAAUCACAGUUGCAAUUUUUCAUGGAAAAUAGUAACACAUACUAGAAUCAUGGGGACGUUUUUUUGUUCGUGAUGGACAGGGGAAGCCAUGGAGUUUGGUUAGGAUUUCCGAGUUUGGAUACACAAGAGUGCAUGCAACAAAGAAAGAGCUAAAAGUUGAGGUCAGUUCAUGAAUCUUUAUCUGCUUUAAUUUUAAAAUUGGGUGAUGCAAUAAGAACAUCAAAUUGAGUUAAUUUCUUGACAUGUUUAUAUCAUUUUGCAGUAUGUAAAUUCAAAUACAAGAAACGUUGAAGAUAGCUUCCGAAUCAUCAAAAGUUGAAAAAUGAAAAAUAUAUAGGCAGGGAGAUUUGCUUUAUAAAUAUAUUGUAAUGAAAGAACAUUGGAAAUCUUUUAAGAGCACUUGUAUUUUCUAAAUAGCUUCUCUGAUUUUUAUUUUUGAAUCUAAACUGUCUUGGUCAGUUGAUUUCAUCCCAGUUUUUGAAGAACUGUUUUUAGACUAUGACCAAACCAGUUCCCAAGCUGACAUUUUUUCCAGUCAAACUCACCAGAUCAGGCUGAUUUUUAAAACAUUGGUAAAUGUACUAUGAAUAGGAGAAAGUAAUGGACAUGAUCUUAAGAAUUCUACUCUUAAGAACAUAAAAAUGCUUGCUCUAACCAGGGCCGGUCCUGGGCUGAGGCGAGUGAGGCCCGCGCCUCAGGCCCAGGACCAUAGGGGGCCUCCUGUUGGUCCAAUUAAUUUUUUUUUUUUUUUUUUUGUAAUAAAGAAACGAGGCCAGUUUAAACUGAAAAGCGAGAUUAUAUACAGCCCCAAGCCCUAACUCAAAAUACCUUCAAAGUUCAACCGCUGGGAUCUUCAAUCUUGGCUUCUCGUUCACUUGGCGAGCGUUAAAUAUAGCAGCAAUUUUGCAUUUACACGUUUUCAGACUACUACUCCAAAAAAGAGGAUUUUAGAGAGAGAUUAAUUUUCGGUUUCCGAUUCUCAUUACCGCCGAAUCGCCGAAUGCCGAUCAACGAACGCCCACCAAUUUCUUCAUCAGCUCCAUAUUAUUUUGGU